rnacentral:rRNA from 1 species
AGAGUUUGAUCAUGGCUCAGGACGAACGCUGGCGGCGUGCCUAAUACAUGCAAGUCGAGCGGAUUUAUCCCUUCGGGGAUGAGUUAGCGGCGGACGGGUGAGUAACACGUAGGCAACCUGCCUGAAGGAUCGGGAUAACUAUCGGAAACGAUAGCUAAGACCGAAUAAUUGGCAUCAUCGCAUGAAGAUGCCAUGAAACACGGAGCAAUCUGUGGCCUUUGGAUGGGCCUGCGGCGCAUUAGCUAGUAGGUGAGGUAACGGCUCACCUAGGCGACGAUGCGUAGCCGACCUGAGAGGGUGAACGGCCACACUGGGACUGAGACACGGCCCAGACUCCUACGGGAGGCAGCAGUAGGGAAUCUUCCGCAAUGGACGCAAGUCUGACGGAGCAACGCCGCGUGAGUGAUGAAGGUUUUCGGAUCGUAAAGCUCUGUUGCCCUAGACGAACGAGUCAGAGAGUAACUGCUCUGGCUGUGACGGUAUAGGAGAAGAAAGCCCCGGCUAACUACGUGCCAGCAGCCGCGGUAAUACGUAGGGGGCAAGCGUUGUCCGGAAUUAUUGGGCGUAAAGCGCGCGCAGGCGGUUCAGUAAGUUGGAUGUUUAAUGCCGGGGCUCAACCCCGGUACGCAUCCAAAACUGGUGGACUUGAGUGUAGGAGAGGAAAGUGGAAUUCCACGUGUAGCGGUGAAAUGCGUAGAGAUGUGGAGGAACACCAGUGGCGAAGGCGACUUUCUGGCCUAUAACUGACGCUGAGGCGCGAAAGCGUGGGGAGCAAACAGGAUUAGAUACCCUAGUAGUCC